GUACAUUUUUGGAGGAGGGACGUGGAAGCUGGGGAAAAAUAUAGGACGUGGAAGAAUAUAGGGCAAAUCAGAAGGCUGUCAGUGCCAUAUAAACAAAAGAGACGGUAAGGGGGUGAAAAGCUGGGUGCAAAACUAUUCAUUGAGGGGAAAGAACAAACCUGGAAAGAAGGAGUAGACAGCAAAUGUAGUUUAAAGGGAAGGAUUUUGGAUGGUGCUUUUUCCCCCCCUUUUUAUGGCCACGCCCCCUGCAUGUGGCACGUGGAGGUUCCCUGGUCAGUGACUGGGUCCAAGAUGCAGCUGUGACCUACUCCGCAGCUGCGGCAACCUGGGCUCCUUCCACCCACUGCUCCCAGCCUCCAGCCGCGCCUCUGCAGCGACCUGACCCGCUGCAGUCUGAUUCUUAGCCCACUGCUCCACAGCCAGGAAUCCCUCCUUCUUUCACCUUUGUAUUUUCCUGUUUAUCUUUGCUAAGGAUCACCUCUCUAGUCAAACUCUGCCAAAACACCGAGCUGCUGCUGUGAGUGGCCCCUCAGGGUCCACCAACACGACCCUCGCAGACCCCAGAGCCCGGCUGUGGGCCUGUAUCAACAGCCAUCCUGUGGUCAUCUUCAGCAAGUCCACGUGCAAACGCUGUACCGAGGUAAGGCCUUAACCUCAGGGGGUGGUGACAUGUGUUGAAUGAAAGACAUUGGACUGAGUUUUGAGCUCAGGUGUCAACAAUUGGAUUUCACCUUAGGAAGGGGGGUGUGUAGGUGUAACUUGCUUCGGAGUACUUGGAGAGUGUUGAUUUGAGAACCGAAUUUUGCUUGAGUAAUCUUUUUCUGAGCUUUUGCAAAAUACGGGAUGUUUUCAGGCAGUCAAGGUCAGGGAAGAUGAGGUUGGGAGAGUUACCAAACCAGGUGAUUUACUGCUCUUUUAGGCAUGUCCGUAUUUCCUAAGGAGCUGUUACUUAAGGUGCUUCUAAAUAUGUAUAAAUAUCUCUUUAUGCUCUGGAUGCUUACGGGCAAAGAAUGAACUGUGCUUCCUACUCGGUUCAUAAUCUUAGAUUAUUGGCGAGAAAAGGUCCGUGAUCACAGCUAUGGCAAGGAUUGGUUUAAUCUACCUCGAUUUAAGAAUCGAGAAUGAAGAAUUUGAAGACAAACUUGAUCAGGUGCUGAAGACAAACUUGAUGAGGUGCAUUUAAAUGCCACUGAAGUUUAGUUUUCAGAUAUACAAAGGGUAGCUCUAGAACUAGACACGAUAGACUCAAGCAAUCAUAACUGGCUGUCUGUCCAGGUAAUUUAUUAAAUUCAGUUUUCCCUCAGCUUGUUUAUCUCUUGGCAUAUUUUCCAGUUCUCAGAGAGGUUGAAUUGAGAAGCCUUUUUAUUCUGGAAGCCUGAUGUAGGGACAGGCUUUUUUGACUCUGUGUGUGUGUUCUCUUUUUCCAAAUAGGGACAAAGGAAAGGUAGACAAGCAGUGGAAACCCUUAAAGUAGGCAGAACCUUUCACUGUUAUUUUGCACAUAGUCUGCCUCAUUGUCACCUGAGGCCUCACCCAUCUUAAGGCCAUCUCAGUGUGAGACGUCAUAUUGAGAGGAGGGUUGCAAAGAGGUAGGAGGCACGAGUCCCAUCCCUGGGGAUUUGUUCAAACUGAGAAGGCAGA
ensembl:lncRNA